GAUGAACGCUGGCGGCGUGCCUAAUACAUGCAAGUCGAGCGAACAGACGAGGAGCUUGCUCCUCUGACGUUAGCGGCGGACGGGUGAGUAACACGUGGAUAACCUACCUAUAAGACUGGGAUAACUUCGGGAAACCGGCGCUAAUACCGGAUAAUAUAUUGAACCGCAUGGUUCAAUAGUGAAAGACGGUUUUGCUGUCACUUAUAGAUGGAUCCGCGCCGCAUUAGCUAGUUGGUAAGGUAACGGCUUACCAAGGCAACGAUGCGUAGCCGACCUGAGAGGGUGAUCGGCCACACUGGAACUGAGACACGGUCCAGACGCCUACGGGAGGCAGCAGUAGGGAAUCUUCCGCAAUGGGCGAAAGCCUGACGGAGCAACGCCGCGUGAGUGAUGAAGGUCUUCGGAUCGUAAAACUCUGUUAUUAGGGAAGAACAAAUGUGUAAGUAACUAUGCACGUCUUGACGGUACCUAAUCAGAAAGCCACGGCUAACUACGUG
rnacentral:rRNA from 1 species